GGGAUUAUAGUUUAAAAAGAAUGAGAAUUUUGUAAAUUUUUGGUAAAGUUAUAUUUGGUUCUU
rnacentral:tRNA from 1 species